rnacentral:rRNA from 1 species
CGCGAUUCGCCCUUCGGGGUGCAGCAGGCGCGAAAACUCUACAAUGCAGGCAACUGCGAUAGGGGAACAUCGAGUGAUCCUCAUAUUGGGGGUCUGUCCACCCGUCUAAAAAACGGGUGUUAGCAAGGGCCGGGCAAGACCGGUGCCAGCCGCCGCGGUAAUACCGGCGGCUCGAGUGGUGGCCGAUAUUAUUGAGUCUAAAGGGUCCGUAGCCGGCUUUGCAAGUCUCUCGGGAAAUCCAGCGGCUUAACCGUUGGUCGUCCGGGGGGUACUACAUUGCUUGGGACUGGGAGAGGUAGGAGGUACUCAGGGGGUAGGAGUGAAAUCCUGUAAUCCUUUGGGGACCACCGGUGGCGAAGGCGUCCUACCAGAACAGGUCCGACGGUGAGGGACGAAAGCUAGGGGCACGAACCGGAUUAGAUACCCGGGUAGUCCUAGCCGUAAACGAUGCUCGCUAGGUGUCACAACAGUCGUGAACUGUUGUGGUGCCGUAGGGAAGCCGUGAAGCGAGCCACUUGGGAAGUACGACCGCAAGGUUGAAACUUAAAGGAAUUGGCGGGGGAGCAC